UGAGCCGAGUAUGCAUGCAAGACGACGAGUUGAUGAACGGUUAGAACCUCCUAUGUAUGACUGCUGUUCGAUGUGUGGUCCUUCCUUCCUGCACGGUCAAUCAUAUUCCUUUUUCGAUCUACUUCCCCGCCUUUUUCAUCUGCGCCCGCCCUGUAUCCAACCAAGUCAAUGAAUAGCCUUGCAGCUGACAGCUGCUGGCCCACGAGACGGCGGUUGUGAUAAUCGAUAUCUAAUGGUUAAAAGGAAGCAUUGCAACAGUUUCUGAGAUAUACGGAAAGCAUUUAUCGAUAUGAUAUCAGGAUAUCUAUCUGCUAUUCUUCAAAGUUGUUAAGAAAGGAAGCAACAGGAAAAGGACAACAAAA
rnacentral:sRNA from 1 species